rnacentral:rRNA from 1 species
AAGUCGAGCGGGAUGAGUGGAGCUUGCUCCAUGAUUCAGCGGCGGACGGGUGAGUAAUGCCUAGGAAUCUGCCUGGUAGUGGGGGACAACGUUUCGAAAGGAACGCUAAUACCGCAUACGUCCUACGGGAGAAAGUGGGGGAUCUUCGGACCUCACGCUAUCAGAUGAGCCUAGGUCGGAUUAGCUAGUUGGUGAGGUAAAGGCUCACCAAGGCGACGAUCCGUAACUGGUCUGAGAGGAUGAUCAGUCACACUGGAACUGAGACACGGUCCAGACUCCUACGGGAGGCAGCAGUGGGGAAUAUUGGACAAUGGGCGAAAGCCUGAUCCAGCCAUGCCGCGUGUGUGAAGAAGGUCUUCGGAUUGUAAAGCACUUUAAGUUGGGAGGAAGGGCAGUAAGUUAAUACCUUGCUGUUUUGACGUUACCGACAGAAUAAGCACCGGCUAACUUCGUGCCAGCAGCCGCGGUAAUACGAAGGGUGCAAGCGUUAAUCGGAAUUACUGGGCGUAAAGCGCGCGUAGGUGGUUCGUUAAGUUGGAUGUGAAAGCCCCGGGCUCAACCUGGGAACUGCAUCCAAAACUGGCGAGCUAGAGUAUGGCAGAGGGUGGUGGAAUUUCCUGUGUAGCGGUGAAAUGCGUAGAUCUAAGAAGGAACACCAGUGGCGAAGGCGAC